AGUGAACGCUGGCGGCAGGCCUAACACAUGCAAGUCGAGCGGCAGCGGGUCCCCGCGAGGGGAGUGCCGGCGAGCGGCGGACGGGUGAGGAACACAUCGGAAUCUGCCUGGUUGUGGGGGACGAACGUAGGGAAACUUACGCUAAUACCGCAUGCGACCCUGAGUCGACGGACUGGGGGUGGAAAGUGAGGGACCUUCGGGCCGUCACGCGACCAGAUGAGCCGAUGUCGGAUUAGCUAGUUGGCGGGGUAACGGCCCGCCAAGGCGACGAUCCGUAGCUGGUCUGAGAGGAUGAUCAGCCACACUGGGACUGAGACACGGCCCAGACUCCUACGGGAGGCAGCAGU
rnacentral:rRNA from 1 species